UUAGCUCAGCUGGGAGAGCACCUGCCUUACAAGCAGGGGGUCAUAGGUUCGAGCCCUAUAGGUCCCA
rnacentral:tRNA from 2 species